GAAUGCACAAUUUAGCUGGAGUCAUUCUUCCUGCUAUGCUGCUGAGAGGCCUAGCGUAGCCUGAUGUACACCAAUGACCUGUAAGGGAAAUACCCAUGGCAGAGAGACAGGCCUUCACAAAGAUUCAUGGGACUGGAGCUAAAGUUAAACACUGGUAGAUGGGGGUCUUGAGAAGAAGAGGAGAGAUCAGAUCUUGGAAGAUUCUCCACAUGUAAGGAGUGGCCUGGAAGAAAAAGCACAGAGGCCGCUCUCAGAAAGACUGUCACUGGGAGUUUUGCCCAGUACACUGGGAAAUUUGACCAAAAACUGAGGAAGGAGCUCAGGAUCAGGCUCACUGUAGAGACAAAUGCUGUAAACUAUGGAGGUACUGUUUGCAUGACUCCAGUUACCUACAAUUGCUGAAGCUCAGUGACCGUCAAGAUGGCACUGACAAGAACCAGGUGUCAUGGAGGCAAGAGCUACAUAUUAGAGGUGUAGAUCCCCUGCUGCAGAGGCUCCUAAGAAGAAUUUUUUGGUGCCGCCUCCGGGAGAAAAAGAGGAACUGAACAGAAUGUUUACUAAUUUGCAUCUGCAAGGCAUAGAAGCAACUGUUUUGUAGAUGACAGGAUUGUUAUUGCUAAUUAAAAUGUUUGUGAACAGGUGCCCUGGAGUGUGUCUCUGGCAAGCACUUGUUACUAGGGCUGAUCGAAAUAUUUCCAGCAAAACUCUUUUUGAUGGAGAAUUGGGUUUUCAGCUAAAGUGUGUGUGUGUGUGUGUGU